rnacentral:rRNA from 1 species
AUUGAACGCUGGCGGCAGGCCUAACACAUGCAAGUCGAACGAGUGGCGGACGGGUGAGUAAUGUCUGGGAAACUGCCCGAUGGAGGGGGAUACCUACUGGAAACGGUAGCUAAUACCGCAUACCAUCGGAUGUGCCCAGAUGGGAUUCGUCAGUAGGUGGGGUAACGGGUCACCUAGGCGACGAUCCCUAGCUGGUCUGAGAGGAAGACCAGCCACACGGGCACUGAGACACGGUCCAGACUCCUACGGGAGGCAGCAGUGGGGAAUAUUGCACAAUGGGCGCAAGCCUGAUGCAGCCAUGCCGCGGGAAUGAAGAAGGCCUUCGGGUUGUAAAGUACUUUCAGCGAGGAGGCGUUACUCGCAGAAGAAGCACCGGCUAACUCCGUGCCAGCAGCCGCGGUAAUAC